rnacentral:rRNA from 1 species
CAGUAGCCGCGGUAAUACGUAGGUGGCAAGCGUUGUCCGGAAUUAUUGGGCGUAAAGGGCCCGCAGGCGGUUUCUUAAGUCUGAUGUGAAAGCCCCCGGCUCAACCGGGGAGGGUCAUUGGAAACUGGGAAACUUGAGUGCAGAAGAGGAGAGUGAAAUUCCACGCGUAGCGGUGAAAUGCGUAGAGAUGUGGAGGAACACCAGUGGCGAAGACGACUCUCUGGUCUGUAACUGACGCUGAGGAGCGAAAGCGUGGGGAGCGAACAGGAUUAGAUACCCCAGUAGUCCCUGUCUCUUAUAC